GCUGCCAACCCGUCUCCCUUAGGUGCGAUACAGGAUGUCAAUGAGUCAUUGUAACACACCGUCAACAGCUUCACCUAUGUUCCAAUUGCUGAACCUCGGACACACUUGAGUUUCUUUAGUGUUAUUGCUUGGUGUUAUUGCAUGGUGAAUACGCAUAACUGUUGGUCCAAAAUGCACUUUUGACUUUUUACUUGCCAGAGUGGAAUGAUCUUCCGGCCAAGUCGUUGUUUAAAUAUGUAUCCUUGAAUUGAUUUCACCAGACAAUUGUUCAAUUGUUUCAAAUACUUAAAAUGUUUAUGGCAGUUGUUAGAAGUCGGUAAGAAUUAGGAAGUCAAUUCACAGUUAUUUAGACUUAGAGCGGGAAAAGCAUGACAAAAUGUUUAAUGUUGUUAAUUGACUAAUAUCAAUACAGUUAUGCUAACAAUAUCAAUACCCCAGAACUUGUGUGCUUGGCAUCUUGGAGGAAAUGUCUUCUCUAAACUCGCACAUGAAUCACCAUGACUACCACAUAUACAGUGCUACUCAUGCAUUAUUAGUACUACAUAUGCAGUGUUAAUACUACGCAUGCAUUAUUAGUGCUACACAUGCAGUGUUAGUACUUCACAUUAAGUGUUAGGUCACAGGCCGAGGGAGCCAAACCUUACAUAUAAACAGUAUGACUUCAUUAUUGCGGGGGCGUUGCGUGAGUUCCUUGUUAGCUCCAGCCUCCUCCGUCACGUCACCCGUAACUCCUCCUCCCACCACAUUCAACCCACAUCUCCAUCUCUUAAACCUCCUCCACAACCCAGCUCCUCCACUCUUACCUUGCGGGGCAAAUGACUUCAAACACACACACACUUCAAACACACACACACACGCACACACACACACACACACACACACACACACACACACACACACUCACACUCACACUCACACACACACACACACACACACACACACACACACACACUCACACUCACACACACAGACA